AUACACUGAAAUAAGUGAUUUUCUCAUUAAAAUUGAGCUCGCAAAAAAAAAACCAAACAAUAAUCAUGAACAUCAUAAAAGUUGGACUCUUUUGGAUUUUAAUCUCCUUAAUAGAAGGUCAGUUAUAUAUGCUUUGAUAAUACAUUUAAAUUGACAACCAUGUAAAAGAAUACUUUUCAAAUCAAAACUUAUGCCUUCCAAGUGGUACUUAGAAGGACAGCUUGUCUAAAAAGAUAUGUGCAACAGCUAACAAGUUAUAGAGAUAAACUUUAUAGAGAUACCUAGAGGUAUAGGGGGAGGGUUGAGAUCUCACAAACAUGUUUAACCCCUCCGCAUUUUUGCGCCUGUCCUAAGUCAGGAGCCUCUGGCCUUUGUUAGUCUUGUAUUAUUUUAAUUUUAGUUUCUUGUGUACAAUUUGGAAAUUAGUAUGGCGUUCAUUAUCACUGAACUAGUAUAUAUUUGUUUAGAGGCCAGUUGAAGGACGCCUCCGGAUGCGGGAAUUUCUCGCUACAUUGAAGACCUGUUGGUGACCUUCUGCUGUUUUUUUUCUAUGGUCGGGUUGUUGUCUCUUUGGCACAUUCCCCAUUUCCAUUCUCAAUUUUAUAAGGUCAGUUGUAUGUUUUCUAAUAUUAAAACAUUUUGCUUUUGAACAUAAAUAUCUUACUUAAUUAAGAAAAACAAAAAAAUGCUUUGAUCAGUACUCAUUUUACAAGGUUUUCAAGUUAAAUUUGAAACCUAAAUCAUUAAACUUGAUUGGAUAAAUAUGUGUCCAACAGCUAACAAACUCUGAAAAAAAUAGAGAUAUGUCACCAUCGUUAUAGCAGAACAUAAAGAUACUAAAUCAUGCUAGCUGUUUUCAUUAUCUCGUAGAAACUCCAGUAUGAAUAAGGAGAUGUGGUAUGAUUGACAAUGUGACAUCAAUCACAAGACAUAAAAAUGAUAAAGAGUGUAUGAAAUCGAUUUAUAUAUAUAUAUAUGAUAGACCAAGUUGGCAAGAUGAGGAGUACAGUAUGUUCCCAUGAUUAUUCCAACUUGAUUGAAAUACACGUCCUCUAUACGAAAACAAUCUGCUCUUUGUGACAAAAAAAUACAUUCUCCAUAGAAUUUUUCUGUUCGAAUGAACAAGCCAACAAAUAAAAAGUCGUGUAAGAAAAAUUAGAAUGAUCUCAACACCCAAUAUUGUAUGUUAGAAAAGCUACAGGUAAAUCAAUGAACAGGUAUAUACUUUUAAGAUGAUUACAUCUACAAAUAUCUCAUCUUUGGACCCAUGACCCUCAAUGUUCAACAAUAAACAGUUAUCUAACAUAUCUUAUUAAUCAUCAAAUAUAUAUAAAAUGUAUGUUAAGACUAAUAUUUCUUUACUCUUUCAGUUCAAAGUAAUAGCAAUAAGACGAAAUGCAUCUCGCAAAAUACAAAUGUUGAUUGCAGACAUUUGGGCCUGACUAUGAUACCUAGACACUUACCAACACAUGCAACAAGUAUGGAUUUAAGUAGUAACAGCCUUAAAAUGAUCAGAGGGUUUACAUUUCAGUAUUUCAAAAACAUCACCGAUCUUUAUUUGGGAUAUAAUGUAAUACAAUCAAUCGAUACUAAUGCUUUCUAUGGGUUGCAUCGCCUACAAAGUCUACAUCUGGAACACAAUUUCUUGCAGGCUUUUCCCAUUGGUAUGUUCGAUAAACUUAAGUGUUUGCAGCAUCUUUCGAUUGAAUACAAUAAACUACAAAAUCAUCAUGAUGACCAAAUAUUGGAAAUGUCAAAGAUUCUAUCACUGACGACCCUUUCCUAUGACAUAUAUCAAGAUUACAAGUUUCCCAGCCAAUGGUCUACAUUAAGUAAAUUGAACCGUUUGGCGAUUUUCCCUAGAUCGUCAAAAGUGCAAUUCAACAAGGAGAUGUUUGCACAUAUUAAAAUGAUGUCAAUCAUGUCUUUGCAUUUAGACAGGGUGCCGUCCAUAUCAGAUGAUUUUUUUGAAAACUUUCCUAAAUUAGAUUCAAUAUCAUUAUAUUUAGGUGACGGUUUACCUAAAAAUCCAAUUGAUCAAGUAUUCAGAUCUUUUGAGGUAUUGAAACGUAGGAACAUGACAAAUAUUGAAAUUGCACACAGUAGAUUUGAUAAUGGGUUUAUUUUAAACCUGGAAAAACUGCAGUAUUUAUGGUCAAUUUGCCUG
rnacentral:lncRNA from 1 species